AUGGCCAUCGAGUUUGGCACGGGGGCGAUGCGCUCCCUCAUCCCCAAGCUGGGCGAGCUGCUCCUCAAGGAGUACAACCUGAAAGACACUGUGAAGAAGGGAAUUAAGGACCUCAAAGCCGAGCUCGAGACGAUGCAUGCUGCUCUUGAGAAGGUCUCCAAUAUGCCGCUGGACCAGCUUGACUCACAAGUCAUGAUCUGGGCAAACGAAGUAAGGGAGUUGUCCUUCGCCAUCGAGGACAGCCUCGACUCAUCCAUGGUGCGAAUCGACAGUCUUGAGCCGACCAAGCCACGAACCUUCAAGGGCUUCAUCAAGAAGACCCGCAACAAGGUUAGCAAGUUCAAGAUUCGCCAUAAACUAGCCGAGGACAUCAAAGAGGUCAAGAUUCAAGUUAGGGAGGUGAAGGAACGGCAUGAAAGGUACAAGAUCAGUGAUGUUGUGGCUAAUCCCACCACAACAACGGUUGACCCUCGUCUGUUGGCCAUGUACACAAAGAUGCCUGACCUUGUUGGCAUUGAAAAGGCGAUUGAUGAGCUAACAAACAAGUUGUCUGAGGGUGAUGAUCCGUCCGGGAGAACACUCAAGACAGUCUCCAUUGUUGGGUUCGGAGGACUGGGCAAAACAACUCUUGCUAAAGCAGUGCAUGACAAGAUGAGGAAGUCAUUUGAUUGUGGUGCUUUUGUUUCGGUGGGUCGAAAUCCUGACAUAAAGAAAAUUCUCAAGGACAUCCUUCUUGCACUUGACAGGCAAAUGUAUAUGGAUGCAUCAACAAUGGAUGAAAUGCAACUCAUCAACCAGCUACGGGAAUUCCUCGCAGACAAGAGGUACUUGAUUAUUAUUGAUGACAUAUGGGACAUACCAACAUGGGAACUGAUUAAUUGUGCAAUGGUGGAUAGUUGCUCUGGAAAUAGAAUAAUCAUAACUACUCGUAUUUCUUGA
rnacentral:rRNA from 1 species